rnacentral:rRNA from 1 species
UACGUAGGGGGCGAGCGUUGUCCGAAGUUACUGGGCGUAAAGCGCGCGUAGGCGGUCAUUUAAGUCUGGGGUGAAAGGUUCAGCGCUCAACGCGAACAGUGCCUUGGAUACUGGGUGACUUGAAUGUGGCAGAGGGUAGUGGAAUGGCUGGUGUAGCGGUGAAAUGCGCAGAUAUCGGGAGGAACACCAAUUGCGAAGGCAGCUCGCUGGGACGUUACUGACGCUGAGACGCGAAAGCGUGGGGAGCAAACAGG